UACGUAGGGUGCAAGCGUUGUCCGGAAUUAUUGGGCGUAAAGAGCGUGUAGGCGGCCCGAUAAGUCCGCUGUGAAAGUCCAGGGCUCAACCCUGGGAUGCCGGUGGAUACUGUCGGGCUCGAGUCCGGAAGAGGAGUGUGGAAUUCCUGGUGUAGCGGUGAAAUGCGCAGAUAUCAGGAGGAACACCAAUGGCGAAGGCAGCUCGCUGGGACGUGACUGACGCUGAGACGCGAAAGCGUGGGGAGCAAACAGG
rnacentral:rRNA from 1 species